UAGUUUCUUCUUGGAGGUAUUCAGA
rnacentral:misc_RNA from 1 species